rnacentral:rRNA from 1 species
UACCUGCAGCUCAAGUGGUGAUCGUUAUUAUUGGGCCUAAAACGUCCGUAGCCGGUCUUAUAAAUGCCUGGGUAAAUCGUGUAGCUCAACUAUACGAAUUCCGGGUAGACUGUAAGACUUGGGACCGGGAGAGGCUAGAGGUACUCCUGGGGUAGAGGUGAAAUUCUGUAAUCCUGGGGGGACCACCAGUGGCGAAGGCGUCUAGCUAGAACGGGUCUGACGGUGAGGGACGAAGCCCUGGGGCGCAAACCGGAUUAGAUACCCGGGUAGUCCAGGGCGCAAACGCUGCUUGCUUGAUGUUAGCUGGGCUCCGAGCUCAGCUAGUGUCGGAGAGAAGUUGUUAAGCAAGCUGCCUGGGAAGUACGAUCGCAAGAUUGAAACUUAAAGGAAUUGGCGGGGGAGCACAGCAACGGGUGGAGCGUGCGGUUU